AAGGCUUUGAGGAUGUAAUCGAUCUAGACAGGUGGAUCUCGCAGGAGGCAGAAAAGAGAUGAAGCUGACAGAGCGGUCAAAGCAUAAAGGGGAGAAGGAACAUGGCGCAGAGAAGCAGAAGUGCUUGCAACAGGGGCUCCAAGUGAAUCACAAUGAUAUUGAUGAUUGGGAAAAAAUAAGUGAGAGAGACAAAGCGGGACUAGAAUGCUGAGCCUGAAAAUGUGAAGAAACAGCUAUUUAUUGGAUGAGGACCUGAAUAUUCAGGACUAUUCAGUCAACACAGGCUGGUGGGUGGUAAAUGUAAUGUCAUUUCAUGAUACAUUUGAGAGUAGUAUUUUCU
rnacentral:lncRNA from 1 species